GNUGAACGCUGGCGGUCUGCUUAACACAUGCAAGUCGAACGAACUCUUCGGAGUGAGUGGCGGACGGGUGAGUAACGCGUGAGAAUCUGCCUGUGGGUCGGGGACAACCACUGGAAACGGUGGCUAAUACCGGAUGAGCCGAAAGGUAAAAAAUUUAUUGCCCACAGAUGAGCUCGCGUCUGAUUAGCUAGUUGGUAAGGUAAAAGCGUACCAAGGCGACGAUCAGUAGCUGGUCUGAGAGGAUGAGCAGCCACACUGGGACUGAGACACGGCCCAGACUCCUACGGGAGGCAGCAGUGGGGAAUUUUCCGCAAUGGGCGAAAGCCUGACGGAGCAAGACCGCGUGGGGGAGGAAGGUUUUUGGAUCGUAGACCCCUUUUGUCAAGGAAGAAGUUCUGACGGUACUUGACGAAUAAGCCUCGGCUAACUCCGUGCCAGCAGCCGCGGUAAUACGGAGGAGGCAAGCGUUAUCCGGAAUGAUUGGCCGUAAAGCGUCUGUAGGUGGCCAGCUAAGUCUGCUGUUAAAGAUCACAGCUCAACUGUGGGAAGGCAGUGGAAACUGGCAACCUAGAGGCUGGUAGGGGUAAGGGAAUUCCGGUGUAGCG
rnacentral:rRNA from 1 species